GAAAAAGAAAAGAAAAUUUCACUCUUACACAAAGCGCCGCCUUCCUCUUUUUCACCUGUAAGCUUCCCCAAACCCUCUCCAUCCCUUUUGUCUCUUCGCUUUCUCGCUCUCUCUUUCCUUCAUCAAUGAAAGAUUGAUUUUGCUACUGGGUUGGGUUAACUCACGUAACCAUUGCCAUCGCCGACCACCAUCACCACCACCGUAACCAUUGCCGAUAGCCGUCGUCCAUCAUCCUACUCCUUGGACUUCAUUUCCAUUCGAUUCAUCUCAGAUCUGCAUCUCUGUCAUCGUUGUUCGUCUCAGAUCUACGUCGCUCAUGCCUUGUUCUGCUCUACUCCGUCGUGUUUUUCUACUCGCACCGUUCUGAAACCUGUGCUCUGCUCCGCGUUCUAAAACCUUUGCUCUGCUCUGCCGUGGUGCCGUGUUCUAUCUUCUCAGGCAAAUCAACAACUCUUCGCCGUUCACCUCUUUCACUCAAGCCUCUCGCCUCAGCCUCGGUCCUCAGCAUUUCUUCCUUCAUCGUCGUCGUUGAAGGCUUGUAGAUUGAUUUUACAUACUACUUGAUUAAUUUAGUUGAAUUGUUGAAUUAAUAACAAUAGUUCCAAUAUACAUCUCUCUCUCUCUCCACGCACAUCUCUUUCAGUUUAAUCGAUUGAAGAAGCUUACAUAAUCCUUUUCUUCUUUUCAUUGUUUUUGCAAUUUCGAGUUCGAUCAUGUCGAAGGACAAAGACUUUACUGAUUUGUCGCUUGCCUUCAAACACCUCUUAGGCAUCUUAUGGCUCUGUGUUUUCCUCUGAAGAUUAUCAAAGAAGUGUUACUAAUGAGAGACGGCCCUUGAAAAAGCCAAGCAACUAGUAAGGAACUUAGAAACAAAGCUUGAUUCAGCUAAUGCUCAGCACCUUAAGGAGAAAGAAGAAUGGGGACUAAGCCUUAAAAAUGUAGAAGAAACGUGGCGAAUGAAAUGUGACUCAAUGAAGGCUGAAAACGAAGCAACUGCUGCACAAGAUAUGAAAAAGGAUUUGCAAGAGAUCAAACUGCAAUAUAAAAAAUUGAAGGUUUAACAUGCUUCAUUUCAUGAUAUUGCUGAUAAAAUGAUUGAGGAGAAGGAUAAUGAAAUAUCUAGACUUUCAGAUGAUAAUAAGAAUCUUCGUCAAUCUCUUCAAUCAAGACCACAGGUUGACCACAGUGACAAUGAUAAUUAUAACACAGUAUAACGUUUUCUGGAUUUAAAUAUUAUUUCAACUGUUCUGGACAACCUCGCAUAAAGUGGAUUCAACGAAUUUAAGCCCCUUUGCUGCAGAACAGCAAAUUCUGCUCCUAGCUAGACAACAAGCUCAAAGAAAAGAAGAACUAGCACGAUCACAGCGCCAUAUCUUAGCUCUUCAAGUAUGUCUUAAAGCUUCUUGAGACAGGUGAAGUGGAAGUAUUGCUACCAGUUAUUGGGAUGCUUCUCCAGUUUAAUCCACAAGAGGAUCAAGGUCACGCUCUUCAAAUUAAUUCCCUUUCAGCUGUGGAGGAACCCUUAGUUGCAAAAGCAAAAUGUGGAAAUUGGGAGAUCGACAAGAGAUUGUUGAAGAUAGGAGAAAGAAUAGCAUCUAGAUCUUGUGGAGAUUUGUAAUUUGUAGCAUUUUUUGCUGUUUGGAUUUGUAACAUGGUUUAUUAUUUUUUAGAAAAAUUUGUGUAUCAAUAUUUUGAGUUUAAUAAAAUAUCUCAUUUUAUAAUAA